rnacentral:rRNA from 1 species
CGGAGCUUGCUCCACCGGAAAAAGAAGAGUGGCGAACGGGUGAGUAACACGUGGGUAACCUGCCCAUCAGAAGGGGAUAACACUUGGAAACAGGUGCUAAUACCGUAUAACAAUCGAAACCGCAUGGUUUUGAUUUGAAAGGCGCUUUCGGGUGUCGCUGAUGGAUGGACCCGCGGUGCAUUAGCUAGUUGGUGAGGUAACGGCUCACCAAGGCCACGAUGCAUAGCCGACCUGAGAGGGUGAUCGGCCACAUUGGGACUGAGACACGGCCCAAACUCCUACGGGAGGCAGCAGUAGGGAAUCUUCGGCAAUGGACGAAAGUCUGACCGAGCAACGCCGCGUGAGUGAAGAAGGUUUUCGGAUCGUAAAACUCUGUUGUUAGAGAAGAACAAGGAUGAGAGUAACUGUUCAUCCCUUGACGGUAUCUAACCAGAAAGCCACGGCUAACUACGUGCCAGCAGCCGCGGUAAUACGUAGGUGGCAAGCGUUGUCCGGAUUUAUUGGGCGUAAAGCGAGCGCAGGCGGUUUCUUAAGUCUGAUGUGAAAGCCCCCGGCUCAACCGGGGAGGGUCAUUGGAAACUGGGAGACUUGAGUGCAGAAGAGGAGAGUGGAAUUCCAUGUGUAGCGGUGAAAUGCGUAGAUAUAUGGAGGAACACCAGUGGCGAAGGCGGCUCUCUGGUCUGUAACUGACGCUGAGGCUCGAAAGCGUGGGGAGCAAACAGGAUUAGAUACCUUGGUAGUCCACGCCGUAAACGAUGAGUGCUAAGUGUUGGAGGGUUUCCGCCCUUCAGUGCUGCAGCUAACGCAUUAAGCACUCCGCCUGGGGAGUACGACCGCAAGGUUGAAACUCAAAGGAAUUGACGGGGGCCCGCACAAGCGGUGGAGCAUGUGGUUUAAUUCGAAGCAACGCGAAGAACCUUACCAGGUCUUGACAUCCUUUGACCACUCUAGAGAUAGAGCUUCCCCUUCGGGGGCAAAGUGACAGGUGGUGCAUGGUUGUCGUCAGCUCGUGUCGUGAGAUGUUGGGUUAAGUCCCGCAACGAGCGCAACCCUUAUUGUUAGUUGCCAUCAUUCAGUUGGGCACUCUAGCAAGACUGCCGGUGACAAACCGGAGGAAGGUGGGGAUGACGUCAAAUCAUCAUGCCCCUUAUGACCUGGGCUACACACGUGCUACAAUGGGAAGUACAACGAGUCGCGAAGUCGCGAGGCUAAGCUAAUCUCUUAAAGCUUCUCUCAGUUCGGAUUGUAGGCUGCAACUCGCCUACAUGAAGCCGGAAUCGCUAGUAAUCGCGGAUCAGCACGCCGCGGUGAAUACGUUCCCGGGCCUUGUACACACCGCCCGUCACACCACGAGAGUUUGUAACACCCGAAGUCGGUGAGGUAACCUUUUGGAGCCAGCCGCCUAAGG